ACUGUGAAGUAUCCCCACUUUGCAGUGAGCAGUCCAAGACAGAAACAAACUAAUGUCAACUGCUCAGUAUGCAGGGUUUCCCUGGAGAGGUUCACAAAUAGAGGCACAGUGAAAGCCACACAGGUGAAAGAAGAGACAGAAUUCAAAAGAGGAUGGCACCAUGCCUCUGAGAUCAGGCCAAGCAUUACAAAAUGCACUUACAACCACUGUAAAAAACACCUCCUUUGUAUCAGAGCGGUGGUUCCCAUUGCUCCUCCAGCAGCCUAACUCAGAAGCUGCAGAGACUCUAGGCAUGCUGCUGCAGAGUUUGUGCAGUUACGGAAACUGACAUCUAUCAAUCCAAAGAUUAGCCAACCCCAAGAAGACCAUCAAAUAAAGUUUGCUAGCAGACU